AGGGAACGCGGGCGGCAGGCUUAACACAUGCAAGUCGAGCGGUAGCACAGGGGAGCUUGCUCCCUGGGUGACGAGCGGCGGACGGGUGAGUAAUGUCUGGGAAACUGCCUGAUGGAGGGGGAUAACUACUGGAAACGGUAGCUAAUACCGCAUAACGUCGCAAGACCAAAGAGGGGGACCUUCGGGCCUCUUGCCAUCAGAUGUGCCCAGAUGGGAUUAGCUAGUAGGUGGGGUAAUGGCUCACCUAGGCGACGAUCCCUAGCUGGUCUGAGAGGAUGACCAGCCACACUGGAACUGAGACACGGUUCAGACUCCUACGGGAGGCAGCAGUGGGGAAUAUUGCACAAUGGGCGCAAGCCUGAUGCAGCCAUGCCGCGUGUGUGAAGAAGGCCUUCGGGUUGUAAAGCACUUUCAGCGAGGAGGAAGGUGGUGAGCUUAAUACGUUCAUCAAUUGACGUUACUCGCAGAAGAAGCACCGGCUAACUCCGUG
rnacentral:rRNA from 1 species